rnacentral:tRNA from 1 species
GGGGGCAUGUGACCCUGGUGGGCACCACAGGUUUCAAACCUGAUUGGAGGUUUUUGUGUAAACGCCUCGGGGGGUUCGAUUCCUUCGCCUUC